UAAAGCAGAGGUGAAGCUGUCCUGGAAGACUCUAGUGAUAAAAAUGUGAUUUAAUAAGAAAAUCAAGGAUAUGGAAGCAUCUUCCAGGAGCUUUUUCACAUGGUGUUUUUACCUCGAAUCUCCGCUGGAAGAGAGUGUGUGUGUUCACAGAUUGGCCAGAUUCUCGCCAAAGUCCAUGAGAGAUCUUUGGGAGCACUUCACACACAACUGUUCCAAAACUAAAAUUGUGGUAUUUGCAAGACGCCCUAUUUUACAUCGCUGGUUUUUUAAUGGAGUCCAACUUGAACAAGUGAAACAAUUCAAAUAUCUCGGGAUUGUUUUCUCUGCUACUGGAUCACGACUACUGCACAGAGAUUAUGUUAUCCAGAGUGGAAGAAGAAGUGCUAAUUUGAUCCAGUCCUUUUUCCGCUCUAGAGGUGCUCAGUAUGUCCCAGCAGCCAUCAAACUAUUUAAUGCAAAGCCAAUAGGGAGAGAGCAAGCAAGAGACUGCUCCUUGGAUAGAACACAAUGAUUCUACGUCAGUGCCUCUACCUAUUUGCUCCAGCAUUUUCAGAAAACCUCUCUUGAAACCAGCAUUUUAAAAACCUGGAAAUACACUGAGAUAAGCUGGAAUUCGAAAGACAAAGCCCGAUUUGUGUGUGGAGUGCUUCCAAGGAUCUCGAAUUUGGGAUUGUACCCAGUGCAAAACAUCUCCGAGCACAGAGAAAAAGGAAGAACCUAUGGUUGCCGUCUGGAUUUUUUCCGAAUGGACCAAUGCAGCUGCCUGCAGUUUCUAGGACUCAGACAGUGAUGCCUGUGACUGACAGGAUGGAUAUGAGAUUUUUAUAUGGAUCAACAGCAGGAGAGAGGGGAUGCCCUCAGGUCUUGCCUAUGGGUUUCCCAGAGGAAUCGGGUGGGCCACUAUGCUGGACUAGAUAGGCCUUGGGCUUGAUCCAGCAGGAUUGUUCUUAUGGGGUUAACAAAGUACUUGUGGAAUCUUUAAAAAAUAGUGUUUCUAAAGGGGUGGAAAGAUACAGAUGAAACCCCCCCCCAAAGACUUUCAUCUUUUCUUCUCUCCAUGAUCCUUGCCUCAUGUUUGAAAUUAUUUUUUUUGCCUGUAUUAUUAUUAUUAUUAUUAUUAAUUUUUACAUUUAUAUCCCGCUCUUCCUCCAAGGAGCCCAGAGCAGUGCACUACAUACUUGAGUUUCUCUUUCACAACAACCCUGUGAAGUAGGUUAGGCUGAGAGAGAAGUGACUGGCCCAUAGUCACCCAGCUAGUUUUAUGGCUGAAUGGGGAUUUGAACUCGGGUCUCCCCGGUCCUAGUCCAGCACUCUAACCACUACACCACACUGGAUCUCAUACUUAUUCCACUCCACCCCCGUGGGUAAAUAUCACAUACAUGUUAUAGAGUAGACUCUGGUCCACAUGAUGCUCAAGGCAACACUGGCACUCCUGACUGGGUAGCAUUGCCGCCUAUAUGGAAGUCAGCCCUAGCAGUGUUGUACAAGAGCACAGUUACGCAGCUACCUAAAGCAGUGC